UGGUAAUGCCGGAUGCUCCAGUUGAUCGCAUGGUCUUCUGGGAAAGCUUUCGCGGUAUGGGAUGGGGUCGCGUCCUAUCAGCUUGACGGCGGGGUAACGGCCCACCGUGGCUUCGACGGGUAGCCGGCCUGAGAGGGCGACCGGCCACAUUGGGACUGAGAUACGGCCCAGACUCCUACGGGAGGCAGCAGUGGGGAAUAUUGCACAAUGGGCGCAAGCCUGAUGCAGCGACGCCGCGUGAGGGAUGGAGGCCUUCGGGUUGUAAACCUCUUUUAUCGGGGAGCAAGCGAGAGUGAGUUUACCCGUUGAAUAAGCACCGGCUAACUACGUGCCAGCAGCCGCGGUAAUACGUAGGGUGCAAGCGUUAUCCGGAAUUAUUGGGCGUAAAGGGCUCGUAGGCGGUUCGUCGCGUCCGGUGUGAAAGUCCAUCGCUUAACGGUGGAUCCGCGCCGGGUACGGGCGGGCUUGAGUGCGGUAGGGGAGACUGGAAUUCCCGGUGUAACGGUGGAAUGUGUAGAUAUCGGAAAAGAACA
rnacentral:rRNA from 1 species